CCCUCAGCGGUUUUGCAUUCUUGCUCAGGUCUCUUAAGUGCUCUGAAGCUCCAUGUUCUCGACUGUAAAUAACCAUGAUGCUGACUGCACCAGCUUAAUGUGAGGAUUAAAGGAAGUAUGGACCAUGGAAGACUCUGGAGCACAGAAGCUAUUUAAAUGUUUGUUGAAUCCACAUUGUAGUCUCUGAAAUAAUCUCGUGCUUUGCCCUGUCCUUCUCCUGGUAGUAAGGGGAGCCUGAGCAGUAGCCCUACCCCCCUGCCUGCUCCAUCCACCUCUCACCUGCUGUGGCCACCUUCUUGAAAACAGCAGCCUCUGCAUUCCUGGGCCACUUUCUCUGCUGUGUUUUAAUAACACAGCACUCAUCACUUUCUGAUAUGUGAUAAAUACAAUUAAAUUUCCAC
rnacentral:lncRNA from 10 species